UAGGAUUUAAAACCCUAAUGCUGACUUAAAGGAAAAGUUCAAUUUAGGGUUUAAAACCCUAAUGCUGACUCAAUGGAAAAGUUCAGUUUAGGGUUUAAAACCCUAAUGCUGACUAAAGGAAAAAGUUCAAUUUAGGGUUUAAAACCCUAAUGUUGACUAAAGGAAAGAGUUCAGUUUAGGGUUUAAAACCCUAAUGCUGACUAAAGGAAAAAGUUCAGUUUAGGCUUUAAAACCCUAAUGCUGACUGAAGGAAAAAGUUCAGUUUAGGGUUUAAAACCCUAAUGCUGACUGAAUGGCAAGUUCAGUUUAGGGUUUAAAACCCUAAUGCUGACUAAAGGAAAAAGUUCAGUUUAGGGUUUAAAACCCUAAUGCUGACUGAAUGGAAAAGUUCAGUUUAGAGUUUAAAACCCUAAUGCUGACUGGAAGGAAAGAGUUCAGUUUAGGGUUUAAAAUCCUAAUGCUGACUAAAGGAAAAAGUUCAGUUUAGGGUUUAAAACCCUAAUGCUGACUUAAAGGAAAAGUUCAGCUUAGGGUUUAAAACCC
rnacentral:lncRNA from 1 species